CCAAUAGCGUAUAUUAAAGUUGUUGCAGUUAAAAAGCUCGUAGUUGAAUUUCGGGGUCAGUAGGUUGGUCAUGCCUCUGGUAUGUACUGGUCUCACUGAUUCCUCCUUCCUGAUGAACCGUAAGGCCAUUAAUUUGGUGUUGCGGGGAGCUUGGACUGUUACUUUGAAAAAAUUAGAGGGUUUAAAGCAAGCUAACGCUUGAAUACAUUAGCAUGGAUUAAUGAAAUAGGACGUUCGAUCCUAUUUUGUUGGUUUCUAGGAUUGACGUAAUGAUUAAUAGGGAUAGUUGGGGGCAUUAGUAUUCAAUUGUCAGAGGUGAAAUUCUUGGAUUUAUUGAAGACUAACUACUGCGAAAGCAUUUGCCAAGGAUGUUUUCAUUAAUCAAGAACGAAAGUUAGGGGAUCGAAGACGAUCAGAUACCGUCGUAGUCUUAACCAUAAACUAUGCCGACUAGGGAUCGGAUGAUGUUAAUUUUUUAAUGACUCAUUCGGCGCCUUACG
rnacentral:rRNA from 1 species